rnacentral:rRNA from 1 species
CAGCAGCCGCGGUAAAACCGAGGGUGCAAGCGUUAAUCGGAAUUACUGGGCGUAAAGCGCGCGUAGGUGGUUCGCCAAGUUGGAUGUGAAAUCCCCGGGCUCAACCUGGGAACUGCAUCCAAAACUGGCGAGCUAGAGUAUGGUAGAGGGUGGUGGAAUUUCCUGUGUAGCGGUGAAAUGCGUAGAUAUAGGAAGGAACAUCAGUGGCGAAGGCGACCACCUGGACUGAUACUGACACUGAGGUGCGAAAGCGUGGGGAGCAAACAGGAUUAGAGACCCCGGUAGUCCCUGUCUCUUAUAC